GGAGCAAUUUGAAAAAUUUCUGAUGGAAGCACCGGAUGAAGAAUUUCUAGUUCACAAGGUCGCAAUGAUAUUGGGAAUAUCUGGUGCCUGUAGAAGAGAAGAAUUAUAUAAUAUUACUAUGAAUGACAUCCAACAAACCGAUGGUUUAAUGAUUGUAAAAGUACCCAAUACAAAAA
rnacentral:lncRNA from 1 species